rnacentral:rRNA from 1 species
UACAGAGGGUGCGAGCGUUGUUCGGAAUUAUUGGGCGUAAAGCGCACGUAGGCGGUUUGUUAUGUCGGAUGUGAAAGCCCUUGGCUCAACUGAGGAAGUGCAUCCGAAACUGGCAGGCUAGAGUAUGUAAGAGGGUCGCAGAAUUCCCGGUGUAGAGGUGAAAUUCGUAGAUAUCGGGAGGAACACCGGUGGCGAAGGCGGCGACCUGGGACAAUACUGACGCUGAGACGCGAAAGCGUGGGGAGCAAACAGG